UUUGGCUGGUGUAGAUAAUCUGUCUGGGUAAUUAAUGAAGCUUGUUGGCUUUUGUGCUAGGAAAUCCAGGCAAUGGAGUCACCCAUUGCUGAUUACCUGGAAUUUAAUUUCUAAAGAGGUAAUGAGGUGGUGAAGGAAGCUUCGCAUUUCAGCUCUAAUAUCAACGUCUCUGUCUUCCCUUACUUCCUAUUAGGCCUUUGAUGUCCUGCUUCUGUGCUUUCUUUAAAGAAUUUUUUUCUUUACUCAGUUCUAGGUAUCACGUUAUACUAUUUACCUGUUUCCCCCUCUAGAUUGCGAUUUAGUCUUGAUUUCGUAUGGUUGUGCCUUUGAGUCAUGCGUCAGGUCCUUAUCCAGUGUCUAGUAUGCACUAACUAUUGAAUAUUCUACAACAGUUUCUAGUCUGCAGUUCAUUUUCUGGUGCAUUUUCUCGUUCGAUAUUGACAACCACCUUUUGAGACAGGCGGCAUCCUGUGUAUUAACAAUCCCUAAGUGACAGAGGGAUUUUGAGGCCCAGAGAAGUGAUGCAGUUUGCUUAACAGCCCGGGCAGAUAGGAAGAGCAGAAGGAUUUGAACUAAGACUCCAUGACAUCAGACCUUGUGUUCCUUCCACUGAGCUGCCCAGGCACACUGCUGGGUGAACGGGGAACAAAAUCCCGUAGCUACCAGAGACAGCAGGAGAAUGUCAGUUGGUUAGGUGCCACGAACACCCUCGUCCCCUCUUUUCUACCUGUCCAAAACCUACUACGAAGAAUGUCAAGAUGGAGGUGUCAGCACAUUCAUCCCAGCGCUAGGCCUUUCUGAGCGUGAGGUCCUGUCUAGCUGCCCAGAUCCUAUGUCCAUGAUGAUGGCCCUGGCAAAAAGAAGAAUCUUCUGACGGCAGAUGGGGAGCAAAAAGGUGAGAAGAAACAGCAAUGUCCUAAUCACCCUGGACAGAAGGGGAGGCCCACGUCACACUAGAACUCAUCUCCCAGCCCCACUAGCAUGCAGACACAACCACUGAUUCACCAGUCUCUGGACAGGCGGGCAGCAGCAGCAACGGGGGCGCC